rnacentral:rRNA from 1 species
AGUGAACGCUGGCGGUAGGCCUAACACAUGCAAGUCGAACGGCAGCACAGUAAGAGCUUGCUCUUACGGUUGGCGAGUGGCGGACGGGUGAGGAAUACAUCGGCAUCUACUUUUUCGUGGGGGAUAACGUAGGGAAACUUACGCUAAUACCUCAUACGACCUACGGGUGAAAGCAGGGGAUCUUCGGACCUUGCGCGUUUGAAUGAGCCGAUGUCGGAUUAGCUAGUUGGCGGGGUAAAGGCCCACCAAGGCGACGAUCCGUAGCUGGUCUGAGAGGAUGAUCAGCCACACUGGAACUGAGACACGGUCCAGACUCCUACGGGAGGCAGCAGUGGGGAAUAUUGGACAAAGGGCGCAAGCCUGAUCCAGCCAUACCGCGUGGGUGAAGAAGGCCUUCGGGUUGUAAAGCCCUUUUGUUGGGAAAGAAAAGCAGCAGGUUAAUACCCCGCUGUUCUGACGGUACCCAAAGAAUAAGCACCGGCUAACUUCGUG